AGCCCAGACUUGUUGCAGCCCAAGUAACAGUGAAGGCAUUAUGGGCAUGCUUCCCUGACACCUGCCUAUUCUAAAGACUGCAGAGCAGCAAGCACAGCACAUGCUAUGACAGGCCCAGACUUGUUGCAGCCCAAGUAACAGUGAAGGCAUUAUGGGCAUGCUUCCCUGACACCUGCCUAUUCUAAAGACUGCAGAGCAGCAAGCACAGCACAUGCUAUGACAGG